rnacentral:misc_RNA from 1 species
GAAGAAGAAGAAGAAGAAGAAGAUUCCGAUGAACUAGUGGUGGCUGCCGCCACAUUAACGCUUCCUAAGCUAAUCAAGGAAGCCAAAGACGGCAUGCUUCCUACAAGAACCACCAUGGAACCCAUCAAAAACCCAUCAAAAUAGGUCUCUAAACAGAGAAUUUAAAAAGAAUUCGACAAAUCAAUCGAAACAAUAAGGAAUGGUAAUAGCACUUACCUCUCUUCUCACGCAAACUUUGGGAAUUCUUAGAGAAAGAGAGAGACGAGACAGGACAGAGAGAUAUAUUUGGGGGUGACGAAAAAAAGCCAAAAAUGGGAAUUUGUGUGGCUGCUGCUGCUCUCUGCCUGUUAAAAUUUGUC